UACGGAGGGGGCUAGCGUUGUUCGGAAUUACUGGGCGUAAAGCGCACGUAGGCGGCUUUGUAAGUUAGAGGUGAAAGCCCGGGGCUCAACUCCGGAAUUGCCUUUAAGACUGCAUCGCUCGAAUUGUGGAGAGGUAAGUGGAAUUCCGAGUGUAGAGGUGAAAUUCGUAGAUAUUGGGAAGAACACCGGUGGCGAAGGCGGCGAUCUGGGUCGAUACUGACGCUGAGGUGCGAAAGCGUGGGGAGCAAACAGG
rnacentral:rRNA from 1 species